rnacentral:rRNA from 1 species
AGCAGCCGCGGUAAUUCCAGCUCCAAUAGCGUAUAUUAAAGUUGUUGCAGUUAAAAAGCUCGUAGUUGAAUUUCGGGGUCAGCAGGUUGGUCGUGCCACUGGUAUGUACUGGCUUCGCUGAUUCCUCCCUCUUGUAGAACCGUAAUGCCAUUAAGUUGGUGUUGCGGGGAAACAGGACUGUUACUUUGAAAAAAUUAGAGUGUUUAAAGCAGGCUAACGCUUGAAUACAUUAGCAUGGAAUAAUGAAAUAGGACGAUCGAUCCUAUUUUGUUGGUUUCUAGGAUUGACGUAAUGAUUAAUAGGGAUAGUUGGGGGCAUUAGUAUUCAAUUGUCAGAGGUGAAAUUCUUGGAUUUAUUGAAGACUGACUACUGCGAAAGCAUUUGCCAAGGAUGUUUUCAUUAAUCAAGAACGAAAGUUAGGGGAUCGAAGACGAUCAGAUACCGUCGUAGUCUUAACCAUAAACUAUGCCGACUAGGGAUCGGAUGAUGUUAAUUUUUAAUGUA